AAAUUGAAGAGUUUGAUCAUGGCUCAGAUUGAACGCUGGCGGCAGGCCUAACACAUGCAAGUCGAACGGUAACAGGAAGCAGCUUGCUGCUUUGCUGACGAGUGGCGGACGGGUGAGUAAUGUCUGGGAAACUGCCCGAUGGAGGGGGAUAACUACUGGAAACGGUGGCUAAUACCGCAUAACGUCGCAAGACCAAAGAGGGGGACCUUCGGGCCUCUUGCCAUCAGAUGUGCCCAGAUGGGAUUAGCUUGUUGGUGAGGUAACGGCUCACCAAGGCGACGAUCCCUAGCUGGUCUGAGAGGAUGACCAGCCACACUGGAACUGAGACACGGUCCAGACUCCUACGGGAGGCAGCAGUGG
rnacentral:rRNA from 1 species